CUCCAAGUCAUAGUGCAAAUAAAUGAUGGGAUACUGUACAAUUUCUGUAGUGAAGCAACUGUGAGGGAAGAUGUUCUGCUCACUCUCACUCCAUGUUAGGAGCCUGCUGACAUCUGACCACUAAAUCUUAUUACUAAUAAAAUCUGUUGGUGAAGCAA